rnacentral:sRNA from 1 species
UGAACAUUCUAAACUCUCGUGAGCUGUAC